UUUCAGAUUCUUUUUAUGUAAAUUACACAGAAAUGAAAAGAAAGGUAGUGAAUACUGGCAAGCUGAGAUUGAGUCCAAAUGAAGAAGCCUUUAUUUUGAGAGAAGAUUAUGAAAGAAGACGAAAACUAAGGUUGCUACAGGUUCGAGAACAAGAAAAGGAUAUCGCUUUACAGAUAAGAGAAGACAUAAAGCAGAGGAGAAAUCAGCAGUUUGCUCGUUUGGCAGAGGAGCUAAGGGCAGAAUGGGAAGAAUCGCAAACUCAGAAGAUACAAAACUUAGAAAAACUGUAUUUGGCAAGUUUAAAAAGUAUGGGAGAUGGACAUCGACAGGCCAAAGAAAACGAACCUGAUUUGGAUGCUCUGGCACGGCAGACAGCAGAAAGGAAAAGAAAAGCAGAAAUGAGGCAUAAAGAAGCUUUGAAAGUACAGAAAAAUAAAAAAGAAAUACUAAUGAAAGAAAAAAACUGGCAUAUAAAAGCUCGGAAGGAAGCAUUGCUUGUAGAAAAAGAAAGGUCUGCCAAAAUUUCAAGUCUGCCUCUUCCUCCUCCAGCUCCUUUUGAGAACAUUGAAGUAAAAAGAAUUUCUUCAGUGAAAACCAGCAGUUCUACCUACCAUCAUAUUUCCACUUUUGUGAAUGCACAGAUGGAAACAAAGCAGCCAGAUGCUCAUUUGGCUGCUGAAGAAGAAGCUAAACGAUUGGAAGAACUGCAAAAACAGGCAGCACAAGAGAGAUUGGAACAGUUUGAAAAGGCACAUGUACGGGGUUUCCAAGCCAUGAAAAAGAUCCAUUUGGCACAAACUCAAGAGAAACUAAUGAAAGAACUUAAACAGCUGCAACAAGAAGACCUGGCACGUAGAAAACAGACUGUAGCACAAAUGCCACCACAAGUAGUUGAACUUCCAUACAAACGCAAUGAAAUGAAAGAAGAAUGGCAGAGAGAGCUGGAAUUCGCAUUUGAAGAUAUGUACAAUGCAGACAGGAAGGUGAAAGGAGACCUGGUCUUGCAUCUUGAACCAGAACCUUUGCCCAGUGUGACUGAUCAGAUCCAAGAUGAAGAAUUAGACCUUUCAGUGGACCAAGAAAACAUAGGUGAAGCAGAGGACCUUCCAUUGACAGAAGCUGACAUACGUUCUAGUGAAACAGACGAUUCCUUGGCAAUAAAGACCCAAGAGCUCCCUUCAAAAGUUCUUUUUAAAAAAUUACUAAAUAAGAUUCGAAAUCAAAAAUCUCUCUGGACGAUUAAAUCCAUGUCUGAAGAUGAAAGUGAAAUGAUUACAAACGUUAGUGAAGCUGAGAGUAAAGUACCAACAGUUGAAUCUGGAACAAUUGCCAGUGAGGAAAGAACGCUAUCCACAGAACAAGAACAUGUUAUGGAAAGUGAUUUACUGACAAUUGAGUCUGGACCACUUACAAGUGAAGAUAAGCCACUUUCAUGCCACACAGACUCUGGAAAGGAACAAGAAAUAAAUGAGACUCCACCUGUCACAGCUGUAGCUCAGAGUUCAUUUUUACUUCACCCUCAAGAGGAAGCAGUCAGAGUUAGAAUGUCAGCAAAGCAGAAACAGAUAAUGGAACUAGAAGAGCAAAAGCAAAAGCAGUUGGAAUUACUUGAACAAAUUGAACAACAGAAAUUAAGAUUAGAAACUGACUGCUUCAGGGCUCAGCUGGAAGAAGAAAAAAGAAAAAAACCUCAACCAACUGGGGUUGGCACUGCUCCAGUACCAUUCCCUGUAUUUUCUGAUGAAGAUAGUCGUAGGCAGAUAAUUCGUAACUACCAACAGCAGCUUUUACAACAAAACAGGUUACACAAGCAAUCUGUUGAUACAGCCAGAAGACGAUUACUUGAAUAUCAGAUUUUGUUAAAAGGAAGGUUCCCAUCAACAUCAGCUACAUCAUUGAUAUCUGAUUCCAUUAUAACCGUACCACCACAGAAAUCUGAAAAAUCCACUGCUAUAUCACAACCUUGGGAUCAAAGUCAGAGAUUCAAGUCGAGUCUUAACAAACAUCAACCCAUUCAGAUCUCGAAAUUAGAGCAAGACUAUAUUCAUGUACCAAGACAAAGUCAGUUUGCACAGAUAAAAGAAACAUCAAGCACUUCAGAUUUUUUAGCCAAGCAAUCUUUGGAGUCACAAGAUCACCUAAGGCAAUUCUCUCAGAUUGAAACACAAAAGGGAGACUACAAACUAAUCCCUAAAGGUUUACAUGUGUUUUCAAGUACUUUAUCACAUGAUAGACAGCCACUGUUACAGGACACUGGAAAAAUAUCUGAAACAUUGAGGCCAACAGCAUCUCAAUCUGUAGAUUCCCCCCAAAUAGUGGUAGACAGUGAAAAUAUUUUUUUGAAACUAACUGAACCUUCAUUUCUACCACUGGUACCUGAGCAUUCUUUUACUAUUCUCCCUAGUAAAGUAGAAUCUAGAAGAGUUCAAGAACCCUUUUCAACCGUGAAUAAAAGUGCAGUUUCUGUAAGCCAUUCUGUAAUCCCCAGCCAAAUAUGUGAUCAACCUGUUCCAUCCUCAGCCACUGUCACAACCCAGCAAAAUAAUUUGAAGGUUCUUCAGGAGCAGUUAGAACUACAGAAGGAAGUUCUUCAGGCAAGACAGGAGGCUCAGGAACAAUUGCUUUUGCACAAACAGAAAGAUUUGGAAGAGCAGACUGGUCUUUCUGUAUUCUUCCCUAUGGCUGUGCCAGAUUCCUUUGCUUCACUGCCUUCUGCUAUAACUGAAUCUGGGAGAAUCCAGGAACCUUUUCCAAACAAGAAUGCUCCUUCACUUUUCUCAGGCCAUCCUGUCCUUCCACAUCUUCAAGACAGUCUUUUGAGUUUUUCACAGCCUAUCUUAGCACAACAAAAUAAUUUAAAAUUUCUCCAACAACCAUUAAAUAUUCAAAGAGAUAACCUUCAGGCUAGGCGGGAAGCUCAGGAAGUGUUAUUUGUACAUAAACAGAGUGAACUGGAUGGAAGAGUAUGUUCUGAACAGGCUGAGCCCUCUUCUCUGCCAUGUCAGGUGGCUAAGCAUACAUUGGCUUCACUACCUUUUCCUGACAGAAAAUCUGAACCAAUCCAGAGGCAGCAUUUAUCUAGGGAAAAGGUGCUUCUUUCAAGUAAGUCUGAAAUCCCAAAUUCUCAGAAUGGGUCAUCAGAUUUCCUUCAGCAGUUUCUACCUCAUGAUAAUUUGAAGUUACUCCAAGGACAAGUGACUCCAGAGACAAAUACUCUUCCAGCUAGAUGUGAUACACAAGUGGAAUUACUUUCACAUGGUCAAAGGGAUUUGAGGGACAAUUUGCCUGGACAGAUGAGUUCAUCCUUACAAAUGGUUAUUCAACAUUCAGAUGCCUCACAAACCUUUGCUACUGUUGAACCCAAAAGAGUUCAGAAACUUAGUUCAUUUGAGGAAAAUAUUAUUCCCUGUAGUCAUUUGGUAAUUCCACCAUUUCAAGAUAAGUCUCUUAAUUUCCCACAGCAUAGCCUCCUUCAGCAAGAAAAUUUGAAAAUACUUCAGGAGCAGUCACACAUACAGAGGGUAAUACUUGGUGCUAGACGAGAAAACCAGGAAUUUGUAUGUAAACAAAGUGAAUUGGAAAAAAAGAUUCCUUCUGAACAGACUGGUACCUCUUCAUCUUUACCCCAGAUAGUUGAAUCUGAAAGAUUCAAGGAGUUUGUGUCAGUUCCAAGUGAUGUAAAUGGUUUCUUUAGGUAUUCUAAGAUUCCAAGAUUGCAGGAAGGGCUUUCACACCAUAUGCUACCUCCUCAAGAUAAUUUGGAAGAACACCAAAAAUGGUUAGACACAGAAAAAGAGGUCUUUCAUCUUAAUCAGAAAACCCAAGAAAAUGCAUCGUCUGAACAAACUGGCUUGGCUUCCUUUGUACCCCAAUUAAGACAACUAUCAUUUACGUCAUUACUUUCUGUUGGCUCUAGUACAACCCAGGAUCCUCUUUCAACAGAGAGUGAUAGUAAAAUUCCUUCAAGCCAUUUUCAGAUCCCACAACUGCAGGAUAGACUUUUGAAGAUGUCACAACUUAUCCAGCCCCAACAAGAUAAUUUGAAGGCACUUCAAGAAAAGCUAGCUAUACAGCGGGAGGCCAUAAGUCAAUCUAGACAGGAAGCUCAGGAAAAAAUACUUUUACUUAAACAGAAUGGGUGGAAGGGAAGAGUAUCUCCUGAGCAGGUUGGUACUUUCUUACCCUUAGUAGCACAACAUUCUUUUGCUUCCUUACCUCCUGAAUCUGAGCAAACUCAAGAACUUCCUCCAGCAGGUAAGACAAUUUCAGGUCAUUCGGAAAUACAGAGAUUUCCCAAUAGGCUGUUGAGUUUAUCACAUCCUGUUUUACUUCAAGAAGAUAAUUUGACUGCACUUCAAAAACACAUACCUACACAAACAAAUUCCUCCCCUUCUAUUGAGAAAGCCCAGAAAGAAUUAAUGUUGCCCGGACCAUACAAAUCUGAGGAAGAGAUACUUUCUGAGAAUUUUAUCCAACCUCACCAUGCUGAUUUGAAGUCACUUCAACAGCAAUUAGAUACACAAAAGAAAGCCAUUCGAUCUGGACAGGAAGUCCAAGAAGAACUGCUUUUGCAAAGAUUAAGUCAGUUGGAACAAAGGGUGUCAUCUGAGCAGAUUAGCUCCUCUUCACUUUCAUCCCAGGUGGUAUUGCCUGCUGCCCAUUCUGAAACAAUUGGGAAGUCUUUCCUAACCAAAAGCAAUGAUACUGAGACCCCAGGGUCACAGGCUGGGUCUUUGAGUUUUUCACAGCCUUUGCUAUCCCAGAAAGAUAGCUUGACAGCACAUUCUCUUGAGAAGUGUCAGGCAGAACUGCUUUUAAGCAGGCACAGUAAGUUGGGCAAAAGUGAACCUGUUGAGCAUUCCAUCUCCUCUUCAUUUCUGUCCCAGGAAGCAGAGCAUUCAUUCAUUCCAUUACCAUUUGCAGAAGCUAAAUCUAAAAGUAUUUGUGAGUUGUAUUCAUCUGAAAGUGAACAUGCUCCUAGCUCAAGUGAUUCUAUGAUCUCAUGGUUUCAAGAUAGACUUUUAAGCUACUCACACCCUGUUUUAAAUCAGCCAGAUAACACAGCUUUUCAAAAGCAGUUGGAUCAACAAAGGGAAAUUCUGGAUUAUAGCCAAAAAGCCCAAAAAGAAUUGCUCAUACAGAGAAGAACAGCCCUGCAGCAGCACAUCCAGAAACAUCACGAAACAUUGAAGGAUUUCAUUAAAGACAGCCAGAAGGUGGAACAACUGAGAGAGUGGCUUCCUCUUGUGGAAGACCUAGCAGGAGGCCAUCGGGAAAGCUCUAGUCACGCAGAUAGGAGCAAUGCUGAUGAUAAUCAGCUGCUGGCAGAAGAUGUCAGGUCCACCAAACAAAGUGGUGAGCCUGUGCUCAAAGAACCAGAUAAAAGAGCCUCGAAGCCACCUGUGACAAAAGUUAAAUGUGGAUUGGAUUUAAAUCAACAUGAACUUAGUGCUAUACAAGAAGUAGAAUCACCAAAAAGUGGCAGAACUUCUGUGCCAGGUAAAUCAGAGUUUUGUCAAGAGAGAGACCCCUUGAGAGUCUCGGUAAGCCGAGAACAGAGUUUCCUUGGGAGCCCACAGCCCAGUGAUCCAUUUGAUGAUCUUCAACCAGCUACUCAGGAUCAAGUCUGUGGUGAUGACUACGAUGAUGAAGCAGUCAAGGUGAAGGAAUCUGAUGCUGAGAAUCAUGCCGUGUUAAGUUAUGCUGCAGAGGAGGCAGAUCACAUGUGUCGGGGACAGGCUGUGAGACCAGAUGAUAAGGCUGGAACACAAGAUGUUUCUCAUGAGCCAUUAGCUUCAAUAACUGUUUCUACUGGCAGUUUUUUAAGUUAUGAAAACACAGAUUUGAGCCUUACAGAUCCAGAUCCAUUUUCAGAAUACAUGGGCCAUUCAGAACAAGAACCUGUCACCAGUAAAGAAGAAACAGAUAUUUUAAGUUCUAUAGUUCCUUCAACACAAGUUAUUUAUCAGCAGCAGAACUCUUCAGAUGUCUAUAAAUCUCCGUUGCCUGCAGUAGAAGAAUUUACACCUGGAUACACACAUUGUGAACAGGUCAUAGACAAGGACAUAAAUAAAGCAACUUGGAUACCUGAGAAAACACACUUUCAGGUUGACUUCCCUGAACUAGAACACAUUUUUCCAAAUUUGCAUCAUCAGCUCUUUAAACCAUUAGAACCACAUCCAGAUUUUGACUUAUCAUCAUCAUCCUCUGGGAUUUCUCAAGACAACAGAGAUUUUUACCAGGGCUCAGAUUCUUCAUCUGAAACACCGUGUGCUGGUAUAUCAUCCAGAAGUGCAGUUUCUUUUACAGCAUUGAGGAGGACCAGCUUGCAUUCUUUUAACAUUAGCGUUAACCAGCAACCAGACCCUAACGUGGCUCAUGCUGCUGCUCAGAGUUUUGCUACAGAAACUAUUGAAGGAUCUGAACAAUCUUUUCAACAACUUCUGCCAGAAUUUUCCUCACAGGAGGGGAGCCAGCAUGCUGAUCUGCCAAGUAUUUUUAGCAUUGAAUCAAGAGAUUCUUUUCAAGGCAUGAAAAAUGAGGACCAUCUGUUGGAAAAACAGACUGAAACACUACAAAAUAAGAAAAAAAAUGUUCAUUUCCCCGUGUCUAUAGGAAACUUAAGUUCAGCCUGUAGUUCAUCAGAUGAGACCAAUACAUUUCAUCAGUUACGUGUACAGCAUAGCACUCCGUGUGGUUCUACCUCUAGUGAGUGCUGCAUAAAGCACCAUCUACCAACAGAAAGCAAAGAUGAAAAGGUGAGCUUUGAAGACCUAUCAAAAAGAGACAAUGUUACAAUUUUACAAAGUCAAGGACUCUCUGAAGAUGAUAAAAAUGAAACCUAUCGGAUUUUAGCUAUAAAUCCACACAUAGAAGAAACUGACUCUCAAUUAUGUGUAAGAACAAUAGAAAUGGGAACUUCAGAUCAGACACCACAGUCAUUAAGUAUCCAAAAUGAAAAAUAUUUUGAGAAUUUAAUUGAAACUCCAGAAAUCAUAAAAAAUCUAUCCCAGCCAACAGUGGCUGAGCCCUUUCGAAGUUCUGCAUCAUUUUCACUACGGAACUCUAUUCCUUUCUGGGAGACAGAAUCUGGCCACGGUAUAAUGGAAGAACCAGAACUUACUUUAGUAAGCAACAGUGAUAUCAGUAUUGCUGAAACAGAUUUUGCAAACCUAACCCUUGAAGAAAAGACAGAGAAUGAAACAAAAAGCUGCUUUCAGCCAUGCCAGAGAGCUUACAAGAAGCAUUUGUUAAGAGAAAAAAAUCAUUUAUAGAGAGAUCCUACCAAAGGCAGAAAGAAAUACGGAAUAAAACUCGAGUUUGUGAACAUUCCCAACUCAAAACAGUUAAGGAAAAGCCAUCUACAGGUAAAGGUAUGUUCAAAGUAUUGAUCUUCAAUGGAUCAAAGGAUCAAAUCUAAGGUUCCAGCCUCUUUGCUUUACUAUGAGUUAUCCAGUUAUCUGUGAGUAUACAGGCUGCCUCUGGGAGCUUAGCUAAUUGUGCUGAUAUUUUUUUUUUUUUUGGUUUUGAAUUUCCACCAACAGUGAAUGCCCAUGUUUCAAUAAUGAUCUCAUUUAAGUGAGGUAAAAAAAAAAAGGGUAUCUGGAUAGGAGACAAGGGGAUGGAGGGAGGUGUGGAGGAAGGGGAAGUAGGGCACAGAAACUAAGGAAGAUUUGGAUGUAGGGUCUGAAGGAGAGGUGUUACAAAAGGAAAAAAAAAACACUUGUUCUUUUCUCAGGUUCCUUAAUAAGUGGCCUCAAGGCUGUGAAUAAAGUUAAGGUGUGUUUUCCUGAAGACAGAAGGAUGGCACAAGCCCUAAUGCACAAAAGGGCUCUAAGGUUAUACAAUCAGUUAUCUGAAGUACAACAACAAAAGGAAGAGAAAGCAAAGCAAGAAGCUUAUGCUCAAAACAGAGCAAAGGCAAAAGAAUUUCAUAAG